UGGGGAAUAUUGCACAAUGGGCGCAAGCCUGAUGCAGCCAUGCCGCGUGUAUGAAGAAGGCCUUCGGGUUGUAAAGUACUUUCAGCGAGGAGGAAGGCGUUGUGGUUAAUAACCGCAGCGAUUGACGUUACUCGCAGAAGAAGCACCGGCUAACUCCGUGCCAGCAGCCGCGGUAAUACGGAGGGUGCAAGCGUUAAUCGGAAUUACUGGGCGUAAAGCGCACGCAGGCGGUUUGUCAAGUCGGAUGUGAAAUCCCCGGGCUCAACCUGGGAACUGCAUCCGAAACUGGCAGGCUAGAGUCUUGUAGAGGGGGGAAGAAUUCCAGGUGUAGCGGUGAAAUGCGUAGAGAUCUGGAGGAAUACCGGUGGCGAAGGCGGCCCCCUGGACAAAGACUGACGCUCAGGUGCGAAAGCGUGGGGAGCAAACA
rnacentral:rRNA from 1 species